GCGCCUGUAGCUCAGUGGUAGAGCGGCAUACUUAUAAUAUGCAGGUCCCUGGCUCGAUCCCAGGCAGGCGCA
rnacentral:tRNA from 1 species